ensembl:lncRNA
UUUAAUGAUAAAGUAAUAAAUGAAGGGAAAAGAAACGACAACAUUACUUCUAAUAAUUCCAAUAGUAAUAAUACAGUCCUUGAGGAGGGUACACAAUAUGAUAAAUGUAGUACUAACAGCGAAAAAAAAAAAAUCCGUUUUUAUAUGAACCGUUCAUACACAAAACAAAGCAUUAUAACAAAAAUAGAGGCUAUUUUUACGUUAUUAUUAUAUACGAAGAUUUAUUAUAUUUAUACUGCUAUUACAACUGAUGCUGCUAGUGGUAGGUAUUAUAAAAAAAAAAAAAAAAAAAAUGAAAACGAAAACGAAAACAUUAGUUUGAUAAAUAUGAACACACAAACAAUUUUUAAACAGCUUGUGAAGAAAAAAAAAAACAGACGACUGGACAAGAGAAAGCUAUUAGGGCAUGACGAAAAAGGGAAAGACGAAAAAAACUACACAUACUUAACUUAUCAAAUUAUAAAAAAUAUUUUAAAACACAUAUUAAAUAGUAAAAUAAACAUAUCGUUUAUAAAACUAGUAGAAGAAGUAUAUUUUGAAUUAUAUAACAUACGUGUUGUUAAACACAAUUUGAAUAAUAUAAUCCCGUCGACAAAAGUGCAUGAACAGACUCUGUUUUUAAAUCUUUUACAUAAGUUCUUAAACCUAACACAUUUUGAGUAUCAUGGGUGUAAUGUCAGUUCUAUGCUAUCGCAUUAUUAUUUUUUUUACCAACCGAAAGAUGAUCAUACAUAUAGCAAUAGCCAUAGUCUUAAUUAUAAUUGUAAUAAUGAUUAUGUUAAUAAAAACAUUCUUCAUAAAUAUGAAAAUGUAGUAAGCAAAUAUGAAGAAAUAGAGCAGGACAAAUAUAAUACAUGUUCAGAAAAAAAAAAAAAAAAAAAAACUUAUAUAAUAAAAACACGUAUGAACAUUAUUAUAAUUAUUCAUUAGCUAACUACAUUUUAAAUACGAAAAAAGAAAAUGAACUGAAAUGUAAAUUGUUUAUAGAUAAAAAAAAUAUAUAUUACUGGUUUAAUUUGUUGUACAAUUUUAAUUAUGAUAAGGAAAUUAUGAGUGUACAUUUUGAUUUUAAACCAAUUAAUAUCUUAACAAUACCUUUUAUAGUUUAUAAAACAAAAAAAGAAGAAAAUUAUAAAAAUUUAUCUUUUUUUUCUGUUUAUAUAAUGCACCUGUUGAAUCGUAAUUGGUACUUGUUUGAGAAAUAUGAGCGUUUAUUAUGUUUGGGAAAGAACAAAACAGAGCAUAGACAACUAUGGAAAAAUAUAAAACGUGACACUACCACUGGUGGUGUUACUAAUUUUGAUGGUACUACCUACACUAAUGCUGUUAAUACAGACUGUUACAAACUACUUAAGCGUAAAAAGAGUAUUAUACGACACUUAAAGCAUGAACAAACUAAUAAAUAUGAUAAUAAUAAUAAGAAGAAAAAAAAAAACAAAAACUUGUAUCGUAUUAUAUAUAAAAAACAAUUACAUACAAAAAGACGUAUUGUACAUACGAAUUCGGUUAGUAACGAUUUAAUUAUGGGACCAACUGAAAGAGAGAACAACUCCGAUGAUGGUUAUAUUAUUAGUGAUAACAGUAACAGUUGUAAAACCGAAUUGAAUUUGUGUGAUGUACCAACUGACGUUUAUAAUAUAAGUACAAUAACAUAUGAGGAUUAUAAUUUAGAUACAGUUGGAUUGUAUUUAACUGAAUUUUAUGAAGUUAUAAAAGAUGCAUAUUUAUUUAUAAAAAAUAAUAAAAGUAUGAUUUUAAAAAAGAAUAAAGAUUGUGUUUAUAUAAGAGAGAUUGAUUUUAUUUAUCAAUAUAGUUUAUAUAUUAUUUUUAAUAAGUGGUUAAAAUAUGAUUGCGUUGAUAAAUUAAAGUUUAUAAAAAUGAUAAAGAAUGGAUUUCCUACUCAAUUAAGAGACGUCGUUUAUAUAAAUUUACUUUGCUCCAAUUAUCAUUUGUUAAAAGAAAAGGCAUUAGAAAGGGAUGAACAAAUAGAGGCUUUGAUUAACUUGAUCGGGAGGGAUAGUAGUGGCAACGGUAGUAGCAGUAGUAGUAGCAGUAGUAGUAGCUGUAGUAGUGGCAACGGUAGUAGCAGUAGUAGUAGCAGUAGUAGUAGCUGUAGUAGUAGCAAUAGCUAUAGCAGUAGUAGUAGCAAAAGUAGUAGCUGUAGCAUUAGAAGUAACAAACAGCACGAGAAUAAUGACAGUGACAUCAGAAAUGACAAAAAAAUGGAGCAUACAUCGCCCAACCAAAGAAACAUCCAUAAAAAUAACAUGAACGGGAAAUACCAACACAAGCAAUAUAUGCAAGUGCAUAAAUUUAUAAAAAGAAAAUUCGAACACAGUAAUGACUUGAUUAGUAGCCCAGAAUUUUCAAAAAGGAUAUAUGGUUUAUCGUUAAUAAUAAAAAAAAAGUUAAACUUUAAAAAUAAAUACUUUUUAUAUUUAUUAACAUCAAUUAGUAUUUUAUAUUAUGACAAUUUAUAUUUCAAUUAUAAAUGUAUAAAAAAGAUGAUUAAAAGUUAUUUACUUGAUUUAUAUAAUAGUAAACAUAAUUUAAAAAUAUUUAUUUAUUUUUUUAAUAAUCUUUUAACUUAUAAUUCACCUGACAUAGCAAUAUAUUUAUUUAAGAAUAAUAUAAAUAUAUAUAAAUUAGUAAAAGGAUGGGUAUGUUCCUUAUUUUCCAAUUUUUUUAAUUUACAAAAUAUAUUUUUGUUAUUAGACCGAAUUCUUUUACAGCCUAGAUCUUACAUACUUUUUAUUUGUGUAUCUAUUUUUAUAUAUUUAAAAAAGUUUAUUUUAAAAAGUUGUAAAACUAAUUUUCAUAACAAAAUUAAAUGCUUAGCAAACAUGAUUAAUCUAAAUUAUAUUUUUAAAUUGUCUGAUAGCUUGUUCAGCAGUUGUCAAGUGGAACACAAUACUGCAUUUGUCAACAUAAAUGAGUAUAUAAAUGUUAACAAUGUUAAUGAUAAUAUAUUAAGCACAAAUAGAAUAGAUAAAAACGGUACUUCCACUUAUAAUUUAUAUGAUAACAUGAAUUAUUUUUUGUAUUUGAUGAGUGGACACACAUGGUCAGACUAUUAUGUUCAUAAAAAUAGUUUUGAUAUUUACAAGCGGGUGCGAAGGCGUGAAGUUAUCCAGGUUGGACUAGCUACUGACACAGUUUUUAACGAUGAAUUAGCUAAACAGGUUGAACUAGCCAUUGAUGAUAUAUUUCCUAACAAAAAUGCGACUAACCAAUUGUCAAAAGAAAAGACAUUAUUAAGUAUAAAAAACAAAAGUUUGUUUGAUAAAGUACAAACUAGUUCACAGAAUGAAAACAAAAAAAAAUUUGACAUGGGUCAAAAAAAAAAAAAUAAAUUAAAAAAAUUAAAAGAAUUGAAAGAAUUGAAAGAAUUGAAAGAAUUGAAAGAAUUGAAAGAAUUGAAAGAAUUGAAAGAAUUGAAAGAAUUGAAAGAAUUGAAAGAAUUGAAAGAAUUAAAAGAGUUAAAAGAAUUAAAAGAAUUAAAAGAAUUAAAAAAAUUAAAAAAAUUAAAAAAAUUAAAAAAAUUAAAAAAUGAUAAAGCACAGUCGUUAAAAUUAGAACAGUACUAUGAAAAUUUUUUAAGAUGCUAUAAAAUAAAUACUAAAAAAAAUUUUAAAAAUUUUAUAGGCUAUAAAAAAGCUAAUUUAAAAACAAAUUAUAAAACAAAGGGAAAUUUGGAUAAAAAAAAUAAGUACAAUAAAAAUGAUGACUCAUUUGAUAUAUACUAUAAAAUAACAAAUGAAAAAAACAAAAAAAAAUUUAAAAAUACAGAUUUUGUUAAAUUAAUUAAUUUUCCAAUUUAUCCUUUUUUUUGUAUAUCUAAUUUGUCUGAUGAAUUAUCUCUUAACCAACAUAUAUUUGUUGAUAUGAGAACUGUUGAAAAAUUUAAUCAAAAAAGAUUAAAAAAUUCUGUACACAUUAAUAAUUUUUUGAUAAAUUUAAAAAGAGGGAUUUACAAUAGCUAUAUAAUAAAUGACAACGAUGAAGUUUACGAUAAUGAUAAUUAUAUUUUACAUAGUAAUAAUGAUUAUGAAACUUAUUUUAAUUUAAAAAGCAUAAUUCUAAUAUUUAAUGACUGUAUACUUGACUUUGAUGCUAUAUAUAACUUCUUAAAUUUAAAAAUUAAGUAUAUAAGCAUUUUACGAGGUGGAAUUGAAUAUGCCUUCAAAAAAUUACCACCCAGUUAUUUUGUGUGAGUCAGCUAUGUUAUACUGUAUACGCGGGGGGUAGUGAGGGUCAUGUAACAUAUGUGAGAGCAAUAGGGCAAACAUACAAAGACGCCAGCAAAAAAAAAAAUAAAAUAAAAUAAAAAAAAAAUAAAAAUAAAAAA